CAGGAAAUAGGGCGUACGACAACGCUUGUUUUAUGGCGAUUAGGAAAACGCCAUUAUAGAUUAAUGAUACACAACGUUUUGAAAACGUUGUCUCUGGAUCUUAGUUACACAGCACCGUUUUGGGUCCAUUAGUUCACACCGUUCAAAACUCCGUCCCUUUCAAACCGUCUCGCACUCUCACUCUCACUCUCACUCUCACUUAGUCUCACUCUUCCACAGCUCACUCUCUCUCUUCCAAAACUCAGAAACUCUCAAUUUGAAGCUCGAUUUCAAACAAACUCACUCUCUUGCUCAGAAACCCUCGCUCUCACUGAUUUGAAGCUCAGAAACCCUCGCUCUCACUGAUUUGAAGCUCUCACUCUCGCUCGAUUUCAAACAAACUCAAUCGAUUUCAAACACUCUUUGUCGUUCGAUUUCAGAACUUGUUGCAGAUUUUGGUCACUAGAUUGGCGCUUAUCUUCCGAUUUUGGUUCUCCUCUCUUUCGAUUUUAUCUCGCUCAGUCGGUCGCUUCUUUUUGUUGUAGAACUCAGAUCUGGCAUUGAGGGUUUUGGCAAGUAAAUGGGCUGGAUCCCUUUCUACCUUCGUAUUUGAGGUGAGAUUGGAGAGGUGAAUUUUGACCUUUGUUACCCUCAAUCUACUUCUCCCUGGUUUGACUUUUUCUUUUUUGAAUUGUUUUGACUUUGAUUGUUCAGUCCCUAAUAAAUAAAUUAUAAAAAAAAGUGUAUUUAUGUUUUGAUAUUCCCCCCAUUUUUUCCAAUUUGCAAUCUUGUUGUAAGAUUUCAAUUUUCCAAGCUUUGUUGAUAAUUUGUAGUUUUUUUCCCCUCUCAGUAGGCUAAAUGUUUUUAUUUAUACUUGGAUAAUUUUUAUAUCUUCUUUUAUGAUGUAUAUAUUUAUUUUUUACCCAAUUUUCUUAUGUAAUUUUUGAUUUCUAGUUCCUGUUUUAUAUUUUUAAUAAUUGAACUCUGGUUACCUUUUUUUGUCACUGUUUAUAAAUUUUUAUUGAUUCUUUUCUGAGUUUCGUAAAUGUGCAAUGAUUAUUGAUUAUCUGUACUUGAGAGAAUAUACCAUGAUCAUUCUGAUAGCAAUAUAUAAUUUGUUUUUUUUGUUGCUAUUUUUAUUGGUUCUGUGAAACACUUGUAAUUAUAAAAGCUCUUUUACACAAUCAUGAUUUGAGUAAUUCUAAUUGGAGGCCUGGGUCGAAGAUGAUGUCUUAAGUGGGUUAGUAAGAAAACAGAAUUAUUUGGCUUGUGCAAGUUUUGGUUCUGUCUACAAGCUCUCCUACAAUGCCGAAAUUUGUAGAAAUACCCAUCCCUCCUAUAUGAUCUCAAGAGCUCUAUCUGCUGAUGUUGCUAAAGUAACCAGUGAAGGUUUGCUUCUUAUGAUAUUCUUUUUACCUUUUCAAUCUAGUUAUAAUAAUCUUUUAGCACUAUGUUCACAUGUCUCUGGUUGAGUAUGAACGUAGAAUUACCGCAGGUGAACUUGUGGAUGGUGAUAGUUGUCAGGUAUGGCAAUCAAUGCACUCAUUCAUACUUGUUUUUAAGUUUUCAUAAGGAAAAGAGAGUAGUUUGUAAUGUGCCUUAAGCAUUGAUGAGGGUAACUGGAUGGGCAUACAACUUUAUCUGAAAGUUAUAAAUUGAUAAUAUUAUUCUGAAUUUUCUUAAAAUGAUUUAGCUUCUUAUAUUCAAUCAAAAGUUUACCUUUUUGAUGAUGUCUUGCAUUUGUUAGAAUCAGUUAUUGGGGGAGGAUAUACUGACAGAGAUUCUGCAGGUAGGCACCUUAAGAGAGCUUCAGAGACUCUAUGAUGAGCUUGUUGAUUCAGCUCACACCUGCUGGUUAGAUCGCUAUUCUGCUUCUAAGAAAGGCAGCAGGAGUAGGUGGUUAUUGUCCCAUUUCAUUCUUCAAUUGUCUUGCUCACCUAUGAAAGGACUUUAUCUCUAUGGAGGAGUAGGAACAGGAAAAAAUAUGCUGAUGGACUUAUUUUUUGAUCAAUUGCCUAGCAGCUGGAGGAAAAAGAGGAUUCAUUUUCAUGACUUCAUGUUGGAUGUUCACAGUCGCUUGCAAGGGGAUGAAUUACUUGCAUGAGAAUAGACCCGAAGCAAUAAUUCACCGUGAUCUUGAACCUUCGUAAGUUAUCUAGAUAAGCUAGUAAUUUUUUUUUCUCCUUUCUAUCCCAACCCCCUCUUCUUUUGUUUUGUUUUUUGUUACCAAUCUCUGCCUGUAUAUACAUGAAAAAAUGUUUUUUGUUACCAAUCUCUGCCUGUAUUUACUUUCCAUGUUUUCAUUAAAAAAGAAAAGAAAAGAAAGAAAGAAAGGAACACCAAUUUAGUUGAAGAAGACAUUAAAUCACAUGACCGGCAGAAAAACAUCUCAGUUGUUCGAGUAAAGGUAUAUAGUUUCUUUAUGUUUCAAAUUGAAAUUGUAUAUUUUGAUUUUGUUACUUGAUUUUAAUUGUAAUUGUAGGAAACAAAUAAAAAUAAUGGAGUUCCAACAAUCCAUGGAUGGGCAACUAGACACUGAAAUUGCAAUAGGAUGUCAUUGUGGUAUGAGCAUACUGGAGGAAGAGCUGAAAAACUGUUCCAAGAGCCUCAUACCUUGUUAUUUUUUUUUUUAUUUUCUUUGAUUUCUUGGUUCUUUGAUUUUUUGGUGAGAGCAGCUUCAAGAGUGGUAUAAGAUUGAAUUUCUAGUGAUUUUCUUUUGCCAAAUCACAGAUUGUACACACCAUUGCUCUUGUAUACAGGUAGUUAAAUUCUCAAACUUUCUUCUUAGUUAAAUUCUUUGGUCGUGUUA